rnacentral:ncRNA from 1 species
AUAAAAGCGAUGAAUAGGAAGAGUAAAUUUAAUUCGACUAUCAGAGAGGAAAGUUCACAGGCUGAAAGACUUUCUAAGUUUGAGAAAUUGAAAACUACCUAGGAGCUGUGGUCUGAAGUUACUUUAAAAAGUUUUAGUAAGACUAACCGUUAACUGCGUUAAAGUGUAAAGUGGAUUUUAUCAAUAAAUGAUAAAAUCAAAUUGGGUGGAACCGCGAGUAUGGACUCGUCCCUUUA